AACCUCCAAAGACUUAUUUUCAAGGAUGUCAGCAAGUAGCUGCAAUGAACCAAGAGGAUCAUCCUUAGAUAGAGGAAUUUUCUCCUGUGCAUGCGUCUGUUGUUACAUGGAAAAAUAAGAUAAGUUUUGACAUCAAUAACAUGUAAACUUUAAAAUGGAGAAGUGUAAAGUAGAAUUCCAUACCGAGGGGUCAAAAACUGAACCAACCAAUUGUUUA
rnacentral:lncRNA from 1 species